CAGCUCUCCGAGUUGUAGGGAUGAUUAUUGGGCUUAAAGCGUCCGUAGCCGGCUUAGCAAGUCUCCUGUUAAAUUCAGCGACCUAAUCGUUGAGCCGCGGGAAAUACUACUAGGCUAGGAGGCGGGAGAGGUCAACGGUACUUCCGGGGUAGGGGUGAAAUCCUAUAAUCCCGGGAGGACCACCAGUGGCGAAGGCUGUUGACUAGAACGCGCUCGACGGUGAGGGACGAAAGCUGGGGGAGCAAACCGGAUUAGAUACCCGAGUAGUCC
rnacentral:rRNA from 1 species